AAUUCGAUGAUACGCGAGGAACCUUACCUGGCUUAAAUGUAGAGUGCAUUUUUAGUAGAUAGAAAGUUCCCUUCGGGCUUUCUGCAAGGUGCUGCAUGGUUGUCGUCAGCUCGUGCCGUGAGGUGCCGGGUUAAGUCCCAUAACGAGCGCAACCCUUAUCGUUAGUUGCCAUCUGGUAAUGCAGGGGACUCUAGCGAAACUGCCACCGUAAGGUGAGAGGAAGUGGGAUGACGUCAAAUCAGCACGGCCCUUAUGUCCAGGGCUACACACGUGUUACAAUGGUCGGUACAGAGGGCAGCUACCUGGUGACAGGAUGCUAAUCUCGAAAACCGGUCUCAGUUCGGAUCGAAGUCUGCAACUCGACUUCGUGAAGCUGGAUUCGCUAGUAAUCGCGCAUCAGCUAUGGCGCGGUGAAUACGUUCCCGGGCCUU
rnacentral:rRNA from 1 species